rnacentral:rRNA from 1 species
AUUGAACGCUGGCGGCAUGCCUUACACAUGCAAGUCGAACGGCAGCACGGGAGCAAUCCUGGUGGCGAGUGGCGAACGGGUGAGUAAUAUAUCGGAACGUGCCCAGUCGUGGGGGAUAACGCAGCGAAAGCUGUGCUAAUACCGCAUACGAUCUACGGAUGGAAGCGGGGGAUCGCAAGACCUCGCGCGAUUGGAGCGGCCGAUAUCAGAUUAGCUAGUUGGUGGGGUAAAGGCCCACCAAGGCGACGAUCUGUAGCUGGUCUGAGAGGACGGCCAGCCACACUGGAACUGAGACACGGUCCAGACUCCUACGGGAGGCAGCAGUGGGGAAUUUUGGACAAUGGGCGCAAGCCUGAUCCAGCAAUGCCGCGUGCAGGAUGAAGGCCUUCGGGUUGUAAACUGCUUUUGUACGGAACGAAACGGCCCUUUCUAAUACAGGGGGCUAAUGACGGUACCGUAAGAAUAAGCACCGGCUAACUACGUGCCAGCCGCCGCCGUAAUAC